rnacentral:rRNA from 1 species
UACGUAGGGUGCGAGUGUUAAUCGGAAUUACUGGGCGUAAAGCGUGCGUAGGCGGUUUGUUAAGUCUGCUGUGAAAUCCCCGGGCUCAACCUGGGAAUGGCAGUGGAUACUGGCAAGCUAGAGUGUGUCAGAGGGUGGUGGAAUUCCCGGUGUAGCGGUGAAAUGCGUAGAGAUCGGGAGGAACAUCAGUGGCGAAGGCGGCCACCUGGGACAACACUGACGC